rnacentral:rRNA from 1 species
UACGGGGGGGGCAAGCGUUGUUCGGAAUUACUGGGCGUAAAGGGCUCGUAGGUGGCCAACUAAGUCAGACGUGAAAUCCCUCGGCUUAACCGGGGAACUGCGUCUGAUACUGGAUGGCUUGAGUUUGGGAGAGGGACGCGGAAUUCCUGGUGUAGCGGUGAAAUGCGCAGAUAUCAGGAGGAACACCGGUGGCGAAGGCGGAUCUC